GACGAACGCUGGCGGCGUGCUUAACACAUGCAAGUCGAACGGAAAGGCCUCUUUCGGGGGGUACUCGAGUGGCGAACGGGUGAGUAACACGUGAGUAACCUGCCCUUGACGUUGGGAUAACUUCAGGAAACUGGGGCUAAUACCGGAUAGGAGCUCCUGCUGCAUGGUGGGGGUUGGAAAGUUUCGGCGGUUGGGGAUGGACUCGCGGCUUAUCAGCUUGUUGGUGGGGUAGUGGCUUACCAAGGCUUUGACGGGUAGCCGGCCUGAGAGGGUGACCGGCCACAUUGGGACUGAGAUACGGCCCAGACGCCUACGGGAGGCAGCAGUGGGGAAUAUUGCACAAUGGGUGGAAGCCUGAUGCAGCAACGCCGUGUGCGGGAUGACGGACUUCGGGUUGUAAACCGCUUUCGCUCAUGACGAAGCUUUGUGUGACGGUAGUGGGUAAAGAAGCACCGGCUAACUACGUG
rnacentral:rRNA from 1 species